AAGACAUCCAUGUGCAUACAGAGUAUUUGAAAAAAAAUCAAUUUAGAUUGUUAAAUGUAGUGUGGAGAGGUUUUCACGUUGCUUCUCAUUAACAUGGAACUUUCUGCAAGUUUCUGUGCACCCCUGCCUUUUGUAAAGUUGACUUUAACUAAGGAAACCAGGUAUGAUUAAAAGAGAAUAGGAUAGAGGGAGGAGCCAAGAUGGCCGAAUAGGAACAGCUCCGGUCUACAGCUCCCAGCCUGAGCGACGCAGAAGACGGUGAUUUCUGCAUUUCCAUCUGAGUGAAGGAAGAAUAAUCUGAGCUUGAAAUAAAGACUUAGAAUAUAGAUCACCGCCUGCAACCUUCUCACUCAAAAUUAGAAGACAUUACUGGAUAGUUUCAAGGGAAGUUAUUAACUUGAGAAAAACCCAGAAAUAAGCCAUGGAAGAUGUGCCUGCUUCCCCUUCACCUUCCACUACGAUUGAAAAUUUCCUGAGACCUCCUCAGAAGCCGAGCAGGUGCCAGCUUCAUGCUUCCUUUACAGCCUGUGGAAGCGUGAGCCAAUUAAACCUCUUCUCUUUAUAAAUUACCCAGUCUCAUGUAUUUCUUUAUAGCAAUAUAAAAACAGACUAAUACAGCCAAGAU
rnacentral:lncRNA from 1 species